rnacentral:rRNA from 1 species
UACGUAGGGUGCAAGCGUUAAUCGGAAUUACUGGGCGUAAAGCGUGCGCAGGCGGUUGUGCAAGACAGAUGUGAAAUCCCCGGGCUUAACCUGGGAAUGGCAUUUGUGACUGCACGGCUAGAGUGUGUCAGAGGGGGGUAGAAUUCCACGUGUAGCAGUGAAAUGCGUAGAUAUGUGGAGGAAUACCGAUGGCGAAGGCAGCCCCCUGGGAUAACACUGACGCUCAUG